rnacentral:rRNA from 1 species
CUGCUGCCUUCCGUAGGAGUCUGGGCCGUGUCUCAGUCCCAGUGUGGGGGGCCUUCCUCUCAGAACCCCUACGCAUCGUCGCCACGGUGGGCCGUCACCCCGCCGUCUAGCUAAUGCGCCGCAUGCUCAUCCGCCACCGGAUCGCUCCUUUGGCCACCGGAGGAUGCCCUCCGGUGGCGUCACGGGGUAUUAGGCCGCGUUUCCGCGGGUUAUCCCCCUGUGGCGGCCAGGUUGCAUACGUGUUACUCACCCGUGCGCCGGUCG